AUGGCCUGAACGCGGGAGGCGGAGCUUGCAGUGAGCCGAGAUUGCGCCACUGCACUCCAGCCUGGGCAACAGAGCAAAACUCCGUCUCAAAAAAAAAAAAGAAAAGAAAAGAAAAAGAAAAACAACAAAAAAAUCAGUUUGUUCCAUGGGCAGUAGGCCAUUGCUGCUCAUCUUUUGAUCAGAAGCAGUACUGAGUGGAGUAUUAGGAUGGUGAGGAAGGCAUUCUGUUAAUCCAUGCAUGGUGGUGCUGGCAGAAACAAGAUGAACAGGCAAAGCAAAUCCAGAAUAUGUGUAUAAUGUCCUUUCCAUGAUGGAAAAAGUCCAGUGUAAUCAAUUUGCCAUUAGAUGGCUGGCUGGGUCCCCCAAGGAGCCACAGUGGGCUCAGUGUUGGUCUCUGCUAUUGGCAGAUUAGGCAGUUAGUAGAUGACUUACUCAGCCUUGGUGAGGGGAAGUCCAUGUUGUUGAGCUCGCGCAUAGCCUCCAAUCUUGCCACACAGCCUCUUUGUUACAUAGGUCCAUUGGGCAAGCAAUGGUAGCUGGAAAAAGAGACAGCCCGACCUCCAGAGAACAUGCUUUGUUCCGCUGAUAGUCAAGAGCCUCCUUUGCAGUGAUACCCUUUGGUGUGCAUUCACAUGGGACCCAAAUAUCUUUAUAUUCUGGGCCUGUUUGGAAGAUCUGUCCACAUACUUCUUCCCCAGACCUGCUUGUCACCAAUCCUCCUUCCAUGUUCUUGCCAGUGAAUCUAUGUAGAUCCCUCCAUCUGGCUGUCUCUCCAUCCAGGCAAAGUAGACAAACAAAUGUGCCUCUUGAAGUUCUGCCCCCAAGGAAGAUUUUCUUUCACCACUUGUCCUUCAGGGACACCCUGGAGCGGGGCUGGUGGGCUCCAGCUGUCCACUCUCUGUUGUGCAGGAGCCAUCUGUAAACCAAGUCUGGAUUUUUUUCCUCCUCAGUCAACUGACACAGGAACUUUUUUUUUUUUUGAGACGGAGUCUUGCUCUGUCGCCCAGGCUGGAGUACAAUGGCGUGAUCUCGGGCUCACUGCAACCUAAGCCUCCUGAGUUCAAGUGAGUCUCAUGCCUCAGCCUCCCGAGCAGAUGGGAUUACAGGCCACAACGGGCUAAUUUUUGUAUUUUUAGUAGAGACGGGGUUUCACCAUGUUGCCCAGGCUGAUCUCAAACUCCUCAUCUCAGGUGAUCCGCCCACCUCGGCCUCCCAAAGUGCUGGAAUUACAGGCAUGAACCACGGUGCCCGGCUGACACAAGGAACUUUCUAUGAGGUCCUAGGAAUGAAGGAAAACAGGCAAUAAGGCAAGAAUCGCUGUCGAAGGAGUCUGCGCCACCUGCUCGCACAGCUCACUUGUGCCUUCUGAGCCUGCUGGAGCCCAGUGUACAUAUGCCGUCUCCGCGUGAUUAGAGAUUGCUGCUGCACGUGCCCAAUCCCGUGGCGGGGGCUGGAACACAAACGGGGUGGUGUUCCAGCUGCAACCAUGCAGAUGAAGACUAUACCCUAGGAGAUGGAGGAACAACAGACAAGAAAGAAACCUGGGUUCCUGAAUAACCACGUGGAGCCAAGCAGCUUACUUAUCUCAAGCCACUGUUGCCCACCUCCAGAUUGGUUCGUGAGAUAGAAAUAAGCUUCUAUCCUUUUUGCAUGACUGCAUUUUGGGGUCUGUGUUAUAGCAGCUUAAUCUCUAUCUGAAUUAUAUUGGAUUUAAGUGUCUGAAGCCCAAUGACUUAACCUUUCCUGAGGCAAAGGCACAGAAGAGCCUAUUUUCCAAAAAUGGGAAAACGAAGACAUAGGAAGGAAAAACCCAACAAAUGGUCAGGAAAUUAUACUGCUAUAGGCUCUUCUCGGAUGAGUGUCUAGUCCUAAUGAGGGGGCUGUGGGAAUUCAAAGACGGAGAAACUGCCUUCAGAUAGAGCUAGUAGGGAAGACCCCUGCAGACAGUGACAUUAAAUUGAAGGUAGAAUUUGGAUAGAUGGACAUGGGGAGGGCAAUUCAAACAAAGGGAACUUGAGCAACAGGGUGGAGGUAGAAAGGUGCCAGAUCUUUUGGGAGAUGCAGAAGUGAUAUCACACAGUUUAAAGCCAGAGUUAAAUAUAAACCGAUACUUAGAAGCUUAAAUUCAACAUGGCAAAUUCACAGGUUUAGUUUCCUAAAAGAUUUUUCAUGUUUUUAUUACAGAACUGUCUGCAAACAAAUCUUUACUUGAUGAGAAGUUUAAAUAUAAUUAAAUCUAGAAUAUUACAUGAAUAUUUUAUUGCUUUAUUAAGUCCUUCAAACAACACAUUUAUUUAUUUAUUUAUUUAUUUAUUUAUUUAUUAUUUUUUUUGAGACAGAGUCUCACUCUGUUGCCUAGG
rnacentral:lncRNA from 10 species